rnacentral:rRNA from 1 species
GAUGAACGCUGGCGGCGUGCCUAAUACAUGCAAGUCGAGCGAACAGACGAGGAGCUUGCUCCUCUGACGUUAGCGGCGGACGGGUGAGUAACACGUGGAUAACCUACCUAUAAGACUGGGGUAACUUCGGGAAACCGGAGCUAAUACCGGAUAAUAUAUUGAACCGCAUGGUUCAAUAGUGAAAGACGGCUUUGCUGUCACUUAUAGAUGGAUCCGCGCCGCAUUAGCUAGUUGGUAAGGUAACGGCUUACCAAGGCAACGAUGCGUAGCCGACCUGAGAGGGUGAUCGGCCACACUGGAACUGAGACACGGUCCAGACUCCUACGGGAGGCAGCAGUAGGGAAUCUUCCGCAAUGGGCGAAAGCUUGACGGAGCAACGCCGCGUGAGUGAUGAAGGUCUUCGGAUCGUAAAACUCUGUUAUUAGGGAAGAACAAAUGUGUAAGUAACUAUGCACGUCUUGACGGUACCUAAUCAGAAAGCCACGGCUAACUACGUG